GCAACGACCAAUUGGAGCCCCAUUAUUGGCCCAUUCUACCUUGCCGAGAAUCCCUCUCAACACAAUAACAGCAACACCCCCUCUACCUCGACCAAUCCGAUCCUUCCACGUGUCAGCAACCCUCCCCCCUACAUUCUCAGCUGCCCUUUUGCGACGUAUCAGAAAAUUGAGCGUUGAAAUUGAGAGAAAUUAAAAACAGGAGAAGGGUCACCAUUGUUGAUAAGGAGGAGGAGGAGAUUUAACACUCCUCCUCAUCAACCUGAAUCACAACCUAUUUAAUUCCUCAAUUAUUAUACGUGAAUUAUUUAGGAUUUAGCUCAAUUAUUAUACGUGAAUGUUAUAUAUUAUUUGUCGCAUUUGAAAAAUCUAUAUAUAGAUCGAGAAGAGGGUCAUCCUGUUGUCUUCCUCUGUUGCUCGAGCGAGACCGAGGUCGAAAAGGCAUCGGAUUUGACUUUGAUAUGGCUGAACAGGGACUUGACUCAUUUCAAAGGGUACGGCAAUCAAAAGGAAACCAGGAACUGAAUGAUGAGUUGAAAAUCAAAGCAAAUGAACUCGAGAAGCUAUUCGCCGAGCAUAAACUACGUACUCCUCCUGGAAAUCAAUCUAAUUUUAUCAGCAGAAUUGGUAGGCAUAGUUACAUGCAAAGUUGGCCAUCAGCUACUUCAUCCUACAGUAAUCCUGUAUUAGAUAAUGCUUUUGUCGAUCAAGUGUUUGAUAAUUGUUCGUUUAGGGAACCUGAUAGGAACUCUUCUGAUGAGGUAAAUAGUUCUACUGGCGGUUCUCCAGGGAAAUUCUAUGAUAUGUAUAUGCAGAAAAGGGAUGCAAAACUUAAGGAAGAAUGGAAUUCUAAAGGAGCAGAGAAAGAAGCCAAGUUGAAAGCUAUGGAGGAUAGCCUUGAGAGGAGUAAAGCUGAAAUGAAGACUAUGGAGAGGCUCAGAUCAUUUAACUCCACCUCUAUUUUUAGCAGAAACCAGCAACAAUCAGAAUUUGGGCAAAGUGAUGAUAGAGAACAUAAGCCUGGAGAAGAAGUUUCUAAACAAAAUGCUCAGAGGAAGAAACAACAUUUACCUAUCAAAACUUCAUCUACACCUCGCACCAUAGUAGCAUCUAUUCCAAGGUCUCCAGUGAAGGCUUCUAGUAGUCCUUCUAGUCGCCGAAAAUUUCAACCUGAAAGUCCAAUUGCACGUUCUGUUCCAAACUUGUCUUACCUGAGAAAGGAAAACUCAGAGCCUUCUUCUCUGGCUGGUAAAAUGACUACUCGUUCACAAUCCAGGAACUAUUCCCGUAGCAAAUUACUGCACUCACAGUCCUUGAGAAAAAGCUCUGCUUUGAAUUCUGAGGGUGUUAGCUUGGCACCUCUCAAAUUUGAUAAGGACAAGAUGGAACAUAGUCGUCCUAAGGGUGUAAUUUCAGCACCUCCAAAAUCUGGCAAUGAAAAGAAGGAGCAGAGUCUUACAGAUAAAAUUCCCAGCAUUUCAGAUUCAAAGGCUUCCCCAAAGAAGGAAAAAGAUGCUGACUUCAGUUUAAGAGGUGGUUUGAUUGAGACAAGGGGUUCUAAUAUUGUAUCUAAUUUUGCGCACAAUGAUGAUGAUGAGGCUGAGGCUGAGGCUGAGGCUGAUGAUGAUUAUAUGGAAUUGGAUUCCGAGAACUCAGUGAAUAUAGAUGAGGACGACUUUGAGAACAUGAUAUCUGCAGUUGAGGAAAUUUUUGAUAAUAAGACACAAAGACUGAGCCAUGAGACAGAGAAGCUGGUAAAUUCUGUUUCAGGAUUUGGUGAUAUCCUGAGAUCACCUUCUUCUGUGCCUUCUAGCUUCCUCUCCGGUAGAUUUGCAUACGAGUCACCAAGAGAAAGUAGUCCUAUCUCACAGACUGAUCAUCACCCUUUUUCUUAUCCUCAUGACAUGUCUGAUGUUGAUGCUUCAGGCUCUCCCGUGGGAAACCCUGCAUCCUAUAAUUCACAUUUUAUGAGUCCAACGGAGCAUGACUCAGCUGCUAGAAUGAGGAAGAAAUGGGGAAUGGCAGCUCAGAAACCAAUCCAUGUUUCUUCUCAAAGUCAAUUGCGCAAGGAUAAGGCUAGAGGAUUUAAACGGUUAUUAAAAUUUGGAAAGAAAAACCAUGGAGCAGAUAGUUUGGUUAAAGAUUGGAUUUCAGCAACUACUUAUAAGGGAGAUGAUGGCACGAGAAAUGGACUUGAUCCUCCAAAUCGAUCUGAUGUUUGCCUAUAUGAGGAUGAGUUUUUCAACGAACAAGGUCUGAAGCUGUUGAUUUCGAGCUACUGAUUUAAUAAUCUUUCUCUCUAGCAGUUCAAACCUUGCACACUUCUAUUCCGGCAGCUCCAGCUAACUUCAAAUUGAGGGAAGAUCAUUUAUCAGGAAGCUCAAUAAAGGCACCAAGACCGUUCUUUUCCUUGUCGUCAUUCAGAAGCAAGGGAAAGGACUCAAAGCCGAGAUAAGUCUCUCAAAUGUAUAAAAGUUCCAGUGAUAAAACACAUGGAAUUGCCUCGAUGGUGUGCAGCUUCAAACCAUAUCUUAUUCAGCCAGAGCUUGAGGUAUGCGCGUGCUACAAUCAUAUUUAUACAAUUCAUUUUUGUACAUAGUAUAUCAUUGGACUUUUGUUAGCCUUGCUACAAUCAUAUUUACAAUGUUGUAUAUUGCCUUGAGAGGACAGUUCCCUGUGGCUGAAUGUUAAUGUUAUUUUGGUGGUCAGAGCAUUCUUCGACUUUUAUACUUAUCUGUAGUCAUACAAGCUUGAUUCUUCUAAAUAGCAAAAGUUGGGUUUAUGUUUAGAAUUGAAUAUUAGCAGUUUGGAAGGAGAAGCUUGAUUCAUGAGUAAUUGUAGAUCUUAUAUUUCAUAUAAAUGAAAAGAAUGGUGUGGCUAAAGAGUACAUUGAAUGAAAAA